rnacentral:rRNA from 1 species
AGUGAACGCUGGCGGUAGGCCUAACACAUGCAAGUCGAACGGCAGCACAGUAAGAGCUUGCUCUUACGGGUGGCGAGUGGCGGACGGGUGAGGAAUACAUCGGAAUCUACUUUUUCGUGGGGGAUAACGUAGGGAAACUUACGCUAAUACCGCAUACGACCUACGGGUGAAAGCAGGGGAUCUUCGGACCUUGCGCGAUUGAAUGAGCCGAUGUCGGAUUAGCUAGUUGGCGGGGUAAAGGCCCACCAAGGCGACGAUCCGUAGCUGGUCUGAGAGGAUGAUCAGCCACACUGGAACUGAGACACGGUCCAGACUCCUACGGGAGGCAGCAGUGGGGAAUAUUGGACAAUGGGCGCAAGCCUGAUCCAGCCAUACCGCGUGGGUGAAGAAGGCCUUCGGGUCGUAAAGCCCUUUUGUUGGGAAAGAAAAGCAGCAGGUUAAUACCCCGCUGUUCUGACGGUACCCAAAGAAUAGGCACCGGCUAACUUCGUG